rnacentral:lncRNA from 1 species
UCUAUCACAUGGAUUACUCAGAUCCAGAUUUUACUAAAUUGAAAUAUAUUGAUACAUUAACUCCUACUAAUUUAGAGGGAUCAAUCAUAUUUUGACUCACAGACUGACUUGACAAGUACUUGACUGCACCUAAAAAUCUUUCAUUAUUGAAUUAGAAAUUUAGUUAGUCCGACAUCAAAGUAUAGUGAGUUGCUUGCAAGUCACCAUGGUGA